UACAGAGGGUGCAAGCGUUAAUCGGAAUUAUUGGGCGUAAAGCGCACGUAGGUGGUUUAAUAAGUUUGAUGUGAAAGCCCGGGGCUUAACCCCGGAUCUGCAUUCGAUACGGGCAGGCUAGAGUGUGGUAGGGGAGAUCGGAAUUCCUGGUGUAGCGGUGAAAUGCGCAGAUAUCAGGAGGAACACCGGUGGCGAAGGCGGAUCUCUGGGCCAUUACUGACGCUGAGGAGCGAAAGCGUGGGGAGCGAACAGG
rnacentral:rRNA from 1 species